ACUCAAUUCUUCCUAAUUCGAUAAAAUAAAAUUAUGAAAAGUUUAAACAAAACAAUAAUUAAACUACAUUAUAACUUGGUUGUAGACGACUAACAUCAUCAAAACUCCAAAGCUCCAUCGAGCCACCGCCCACGGCGGUCUCCGCCGCUGGAUUCACCGUCGCCGCCACUGAUUGCCCGUCAACAUACGGUAUUUCAUAGAACUUCAUCAAUGACUCAUAAGCCAUCAGCUCAUCAGAAAGUAUCUGCACUUCAUCCUCUGUUUUCUCCUCUUCCUCUACAACCCUGUUAUUCAAAUUUUUCACCAUCUCCUCUCCUCCAUCUUCAAUUCCAUUAUAACUUGCAAAUUCCAUAACAGGUUCAACGUUCUCGAUUGAGUAAAAGGGGUAACAGUUAUUUGAUUCUUGAUUGUAAGUAACAGUAGUAUCACAAGCAAUGUUCAAGGGAGGGGGCUCUGGAUGACUGUAGCAGUAAUGGUCGUCAUCUUCAUUGGGGAAAUUAACUUUAGCUUUCUUACCCCUGAUUUUACGAGCUUCUCUAUCAUAAGCUCUUGCAGCUUCUUCAGCAGUGUUGAAAGUACCUAACCAAACCCUAACCCCUUUUCUCGGGUCACGAAUUUCAGCAGCCCAUUUACCCCAUGGACGUUGUCUUAUCCCUCUGUAAAGAUUCUUCCUUUGCCUCUUCUUCAUCUGCUCACCACCUGUAGAGGGUCGAGCUCGUUUGGGGUUGAGAGGAACAUUUUGGGUGGAAAUUGGCCAGAAAUCAGUCGGCCAUAGGUCGGUGGAUGACAAACGGCGGUCACGAGGAGGAAUGAUAUCAGCAAGAAUUGCACCACCACACAUCUUAGUGUGAUUUACUCAAAACAGCAGAAACAAAGAAUAUUGAUUGAUACAGAAAUGAAAAAUGUAUAGAAAAGUUUUGUUUUAGUUUUAGUUUUGGUUUUGGUGUGGG
rnacentral:misc_RNA from 1 species